CAGUGGAGCUACCUUCUCCAGAUGACAUCAUGUCUCCUCUGUUUCUCAUUAUAAAGUUGAGUUUCAGAUGUUAAAACCAUAUCCUCCUCGUUCCUCGGCUUUCUUCUUCCCCUGCUCUCACACAGUCCCAGCCUGAUGGCAUUCCAUUGUUUUUACAGUGGAAUCGCAGCGCCAGACACACAGACUUAUUAACCUGGGAAAACACUCAUAUUACUUAUUAAAGAAAAACAGCGCUUGCAAUCCUAAAAUAAGCUACUAUUCUAUGAUAUUAUAACAGUACCACUCCUAUGCCAACUGCAAGCAUCUUUUCAGAGAUAAAUUGUGGAAAAUUGGAAAAUUAAAAGGACACAGGCAGCACUGUUGAUGUGCAGAAGAUAUCUGACAAAUGGAAACCAGAUGGGAAGCUGAUUGAUAUCAAUACAUACAAAACUUUGUUCUCUAUAAAGUAA
rnacentral:lncRNA from 1 species